CUUGCAAGGAAAACAAAAGAAAAAUAAAGGCUGCAUUUAGAAGCAAGUUUGAAACCCAACAUUAUAUUAUUAUAUGGAAGAUGUGUGUGUGGAAUGAGGGCAGCAAGUUAAAUGAUGAGUUUAAUUUUCACACGAUUUUUCCAUAAAGUAAAUAAUGAAGCAUGAGAAGAGUAUGAAGAAAGAAGAAAAGUACCACUCGUCUUAUCUUUACUUUUUAUCUUUCAAAGUACAAUAAUAGAUACACUGCGGAAAAAAUGAUUAGAAGAGUCAGGUCGUUUGGAAAUACUAAUUGAAACCUAAAAGGAAAACUCAAAUAAAAUUUAGUGUAAUUACAUCUAAAUUAAUUAGAAUAGAGGAUGAGAUUAAGUAAUCUAUUGACAUCAUAUUGACCAUAAGCAAUCUUGACAGUGUAUGCACUUGUAUAACUUCAAUAACAUAUAGACGGUUACUUUAGAAAUGUAAAAGAAAUGUAUUUGAAUUUCAUGUGAAGAAUUAAGAGUACACAACAAAUGAAAAAAAAAAUGUUAUAUAUAAAUCUAAAGCCCCCAUUUUGUGAAAAAUGAAGUAUUUCACUUACUAUUUAUCCAAAUAGUGCUGUAGACGAAUUUCGGCAGAACAACUGUUGCAUUAAGUAAUCUAGCCAUAGCAGCAGCAUUGUGCACCUGUACUUUAUCUGCCAAGCUUAGCACAAACACACUAUUGUAAGAGAAUUUUUAAUACAAAAGCAAAUGAAUCAGGAGCUAUUUAGGAAUUUCUAAGUAUGUUCUAUGAGACAAAAGCAG
rnacentral:lncRNA from 1 species